GAUACAAAUUUCUUUUUCAUCCAAUGUGUAAUUUAUUGAAAAGAUGUCAUAAAUAAAGUGAAAAAAACAAAUUUGUGCUCAGAUGAUUGUUUGAAAUAUCAACACAUUUGGAAGAAAAUAACACAACAAAAUGGCUACUUUCAAAAAUGUCCACACUUGUCUCUCGGCAUUACAAUGUACAUCACAAUUGUUCCCCUUCUACUAUUUACAUGUCUACAAUGAACAUUCAAUUUAGGUUGAUAAAAAAAAGUUAAACCAGUAAAAAAAUGAGUUACAUUAUCAAACAAGUUUAUUUAAAACAUUGUUAAAACCAGUCCACAUCUAUUGGUUAAAAAAUAUCAAAAUGCAAAACACGAAAAAAUGGAAUAAGAUCAAACAAUGCACAAGACGGAUGGGAAAACAAAAAGCUGGUACUUGUCCCAUUUAACUGUUUAUUAGAGCGCUACCAUGUAUGUUUAAACUUAAGGUCUCAUUCAGGUAACAAACAUCUUUCCCUAGUGAGCUUUGAUGAAAUACUUUUAAAAUCCAUUAUGUAGUCAUAGAAGAAGACAGUCAAAUCAUAUGGAGCAGUGACUCUCAACAUACAGAAACUCAUGGACCAUUAUAGUCCUGACUGACAGGGAAUUGUGAAAACAGAGUUGAAUCAAGCCCCGCUACCCUUUAUUAUCUACAUACACAUACACACACACAAAUUGAGUAUAUUCUAAAAUAGAACAUCAAAGGAAAUACAAUUUCAAUAUCUACCAAGAGUCAAAUUUUACAAUUUUAAAAGAGGGCAAAGAAAAAAAAACUACAAACAAAAUCAAAUUACAAACUAACAGUAAAAAUGUGAAACAGUGUAGAACCAGAUGGUCAAAGCUCAGCUGUUUCAAAACGAUGCAUCAGUCGAAUCUUUCAUCUAGAUGUUGAACAAAGACUAGGGACUAGAACUAAAAGAAGGAAAGAAACACAAAGGAUCCAGUUGAACAAAAUAAAAGCAUGAGUAAUGGAGUGAAAUCAAGAUAAACACAAAACUGGACGGCCAAGAAAAAAUGUUUAUGUACUAUGUGUACUAUGUGUGGUACAUCUCAUCAAUUAUUGACAUGUGAUUAUGUCACUUAAAGUAGACACAAACUUGUAUUGAAAUCAAUCAUUCCAAGGGAAACAAUCAGAAGGUAUAUCAAUUCCUAGAAACUUCAAAAAUAGAUUUUGCUUUGAAAAUUCUAUUUGAAAUAUGCACACAAACUUCUUCCCUUAACAAAUUUUGAACUUUUUAUACAAAGUCAAAUCUAAUUGUAAAAACUUCAUGCCAAAAAAAAAUGACUGUGUUGUGGAAUCUUACACAUCAAAUGAUGUGAAUGGACAGGUGACAAAAAAAAGUAUACAAUAAGAUCUUACUUAUCAAUGUUAUAAAUACCAUGCAUACAUCAUAAAUAUUUAUUUUUUUAAAUGUACCUAUAUGUUUAUUCUAUGUAUCUAUACACAUGAAUGACUAUUUGUUUUAUAAGCCAGCAGCAACCAUUAGUCAUGUGAUUGUGCAAGUGCAUGUUUUAUACAAAGAGAAACAACUCGCUAGACAUUGUUUUAGUUGUAGUUAACUUGACAUUUUCAAAUCAAUAUUUCUUGUAACAAAUGUAGAGAGAAAUAGUUGACAAAGUCUGUUGCUGUGUUUUUUUUUUUUUGUGGCUAUAUCUAUGAUAAAGAGUACUUGCCAUUUAUUUACAAUAAAUUAUGAUUUUCUUCUUCUUGUAAGAUAAUAAAAGCAAACAAAUGUUUAAAUUACUGCUACGUAUAAAAAGUCAAAAUAGCUUAGAAAAGAUCUGCAAAACUUAUAAAAUGCAUUGCCAUAGUCACAGGAAGGAAAAUUCAAAUACAGAUUUUUUUUUAAAAAGUUAAAUUAGAUUAUCUAAAAAUGUGUUUGCUAGUGCACUACAAAAUUAAUUAUAACAAAUCAAACACCAGUAGCAAAACAAGAUUUAUAGUAGCAUAAUAAUAAAUUAACAGCAUCAUAUUCAGUCUUUUUAUUCAGUCACACUUUAGCAUUAUUUUCAUUUCAUUUGUAUCAAUCAGUCUUAAUCUAUCUCUGAACAAUCUGACAUAUUAUGUUCUAACAAUGAAUAACUCAAGAAUGCAAUUAAUCAUAUAUUCUUGACUUAAACUAACUACCCGUACAGAAAUAGAAAAAAAAAAAAGACAUUAAGCCGCAAUCAGAUCUGAUGAAAGUUGGCUACAAUCAACUCAUCUGCUAGAGUAAGCUGCCCUCAGGGAAAUUGCAGUUCUGCUUAUUUAAAGUGUUAGCUACCUUUUGCUUUUACUCAUAGAGUUACCCCAACUUAAAUAAUUGACAUGUUUUGAAAUAAAGAUUUGACUGAGUGAUCAGUAUAAAUAGACCUCCAAGGUUGAGAUUAAAUGUAGGCUACAAGUUUUUACUAGAAAUGUCUUGACAUCCAAAAUUAGGAAUUGAAAGUGUUAUAUAUUCAAGGCUCUAGUAGAGAAGAAAGAGCAUUAAAAGAAUAUGCAGUAGUUUAGCUUAGGGGCAUGAACAUAUUAUAUACUGUGAUUUUAUGAAGAAGAUUUGAAAUGAAGAACUAGAGUAAUAUUCUAUGUGGAGUAGCUGAGGUCAUAUUAUAGAAUACAUUCUUAUUCUCAAUUUUUACACCACCAAAAUUGACCAAGAAUAUUGCAAGAUCUUUGAAAACAAUUAACUUCCUAGUCCAAACCUCCCGCAGUAUGACAGGAGAUGGCAGGGGGCAGGCUGUGAACCCUCAACCAUCAAAACAACUGCAUGACUUUAAACAUUUCAAGAUAAAACAUUGGAAAUAAACUUUAGUAACCAGUUGUUC
rnacentral:sRNA from 1 species